rnacentral:lncRNA from 1 species
GAUUGAACAGGUAUGGCCAGCACAGAAGGGAGCAAAAAGAGGGAAAAGAAAGCCAAGAGGAAACACACUGGACGUGAGUUUGGUUUUUUUUUUUCCUCCCCCGGCUUCACCCACGGCAUUCGGAAGUUCCUGGGUCAGGUAUCAAACCUUCACCACAGCAGUGACCCAAUCUGCAGCCGUGACAACAGCUGCAUCCUUAACCGCCAGGCCAUCGGGGAACUCCUACUAUUAAUUAUAAACCAGACAUAAUUCACGAUUGAAUGAAUGAAUGAGAGCGGGAUUUGACCCCAUAAAAAUGCAGAACUCGUCUCUGUCGAAAACAAAGCCGAAAAUAAUGACCAAGAAGGGCAAUGUCACUUGGGUUUGGCAGAGACUCCCAGGCAGGCGGGGGAGGGGGGGCUUCUACCAGAGAAAAGGGAGGCUGGGGGUGGGGGUGGGGGUCCCCGAUGGCAGCUGUGGGCCCGAGGAAGCUGGGGCGGGCUCACCACAUGCUGGGCAUCCUGUGGGAUUGAUUUCAGUGCCAUAUUUGGCCCUCUCUGCUUGUCCUGAGUGAGAAGGAUGAGGGGCAAAAAUUAGGGAAGCUGGCUGGCUGCCGAGCCUUCUGGGGCAAUGGCUGCAGAGGCUGCGGGUUGGCUUCCAGAUGGUUUUCGCAGAGGUUGUGGGUCAGAGUUCUCUUGUCACAUGUAUGUGGUUCAGCCACGGUCCCUGUGUUUAGUCACCCUCUCGUGAUGCUUUAUCAAGUCAUCAAGUCGGUGUUGCUUGAUGGCUGCAUGUCUGGGUCCAGAUGCACGUUUUCAAGCUGCCAUGGAAGGCAGGCUCUGGUGGUCAAAUGCUUGGGUGCUGAUCCAGCCCUUCCUGGUAUUUGCUGUGUGGCAUAGGACUAACUGCUACACCUCUCUGUGCCCAAAUUAAGCAGUAACUGUCAAUGAGCGUAAAACGCUUGGGACGGUGUCUGAGCCCUAGGGUGAGGUGAUAAUUUGUCACUGUCCUUGUCUGUAAUUACUGGACUAACAGGAGUCUUGCUCAUACUUAGCGUUAGUUUUCUAUCCAGAGGCCCCUGAAUGAUGCUGACACCUCUCAUUCCAAUACCGUGGUGUUUCAUUUCGCAAGAAUCCGGUCUCCCCACCGUCAUUCCCAUUUGAAAUCUGGAGGCAGAAGGAUCAAGUUUAUCCUUUCUUUUCUUUUCUCUCUUUGGCCACGUCCGCAUGCAGAGGUUCCCUGGGCCAGGGACAGAACCCCCGCCACAGCAGCCACCCGCACCGCUGCAGUCUCGGUGCCAGAUCCUUGCCCCGAUGAGUCAGGUCGGGAUUCCCAGUUUUAAAUUCAAGCAGUUUUGAAGUUUCGCUUGCGCUCGCUGCUUUUCCCAGAGUUGGCAGAAGCCCCGGGUUUGUCUUCAGCGUCUCGUGGUCCCUUCUUCCCACGAGGCCGUCAUAGACAUGCACGUCUUCCUUCUUGCCUUUUGGAUUCCUCGGCUGGACUAAUAAUUACAUUGAUAUCAGACGGAUGCGCGGGAGGAAAUCAGGUUCAUUGCUUACAUGUAGGAGCCCCGGGGACGUGAGACCAAGAGCAAGCCUGGCAAUCGAGGGUCCGGGCCGGGGGCUCCCAGGCCUUGGGGAGCAGAGGCUAGUAACUGACGUGAGCCGUGCAGGGGAGUCUUUCCGAUAAAACUCUUAUUUCUGGUAGUGGUGCUCGUCUGGUGCAGGCCCCCAUCGCAGUUCUUUUGGGUCAUUAAGGAAGAGGUAAUAGGUUUUCCUGAGUCGGCGGGUUCUCGAUGGCAGCAGACUCAGAAUAGUCCAUGUGCCAAAGGGGCUUGUUCGACUCCCUCCCCACCCGGCUCCUCUGAGUCCCUGGCCGCUUAGCCCGUGGAGUUCCCCAUGCGGCGCAGUGGGUUAAGAAUCCAACUUCUGUGGCUCAGGUCGCCGUGGAGGUGCAGGUUCCAUCCCUGGUCUGGUGCAGGGGGUGAAAGGAUCCAGGCUUUGGUGUCUUCUUUUCCUGCUUUAGGCUUUUUACAGCGUGGAGCACCAACCUCUCUCUCGGGCUCAGAUUUGUCAUUUGACUGCCCUGCGCACCUGCUGAGACUCAGGCAAGUGAGGCUGGAACCUUCUCCCGUUCAACAGCACCCCUGCUGCCUGGGGCGCAGCCUGACACUCCUGCAGCACUUAAACUGCUGGCGAAAGAGCUGAAAUACCGUUUUCAAAUACGGAAAAAGCUGGACGAAUAGAGCGUGAACGCCCUGGAGCCGACCAUUGCUAACAUACUGCCAUGUGUCCUUGCGAACCACGGGUGAAAACGUGUAUCUUUUCAUUGACAUCAUGACACUUCACCCCCACCAAACUCUUGGUAGUUAUCUCCUCAAAGUAAAGACACUGUGGGACUUCCUGUCGUGGUGCAGCGGAAACGAAUCCGACGAGGAACCAUGAGGACGAGGGUUCGAUCCCUGGCCUCGCUCAGCGGGUUAAGGAUCCAGCGUUGCUGUGAGUUGUGGUGUAGGUCACAGACACGGCCUGGAUCUGGCAUUGCUGUGGCUGUGGUGUAGGCCCUGGCAGCUGCUGCCCCAAUUAGACCACUGGCCUGGGAACCUCCAUAUGCCUCAGGUGCAUCCCCCCCGCCCCAAAAAAAGGCUAAAUAAAUAAAUAUAAAAGUAAGGACAUUGUUCUCCAUCAUGUGCUGGCAAACUAUGCCCACUGGGCCUAAUCUGGGUCGUGAUCUGCUUUCGACAAUAAAGUUUUAUUG